rnacentral:misc_RNA from 1 species
ACCAUCCAAGAAUCUAGUCAAGACAAUUUCCAAAUACCAUCCACUGUCAUGCAAACAGCAGUAACACCACUAAAUGAUUCUCAUUUAUUAAAAUUGCAUUGGAUGCAUGAUGAUUCCAACUCUCUAUUUUAUAUCUACUUGGACUUUGCGGAAAUCCAAGAGCUCAAGACUAAUCAGUCCAGAGAAUUGAAUAUCUAUGUGAAUGGGGAGCUAUGGUAUGGACCUUUUAGUCCUAAAUACUUGCAGACAACUACAAUAUAUCGCCCAGCAGCCCUAAACAAUAGAUCUUUUGAAGUUGUAAUCAAUAAAACAGAAAACUCAACACUAUUGCCCUUGCUCAAUGCCUUCGAGAUCUAUUUGGUGAAAGAAUUUUUACAACCAGAAACUGACCAACAAGAUGUUGAGGCUAUCUUGAAUAUCAAUUCAACAUACAGACUGAAGAGAUACUGGCAAGGAGACCCAUGUGCACCAAUAAUUUCCUUAUGGGAUGGUCUUAAUUGCAGCUAUGAGGGUCACAAUUCCCCUCGAAUAAUUUCCUUGGACCUGUCCUCAAGUGGAUUGACUGGACCAAUCUCUUCUUCCAUAUCCAAACUUACAAUGUUACAGUUUCUGGAUUUAUCAAACAAUGACUUAACAGGACCAGUGCCUGACUUUCUAUCUCAACUGCAAUUCUUGAGGGUCCUGUAAGCUUUUUAGUUUUACAACCAAAAUUUUUUGACGUUUUUGGAAUGAAUGUUGAAGAUGAUAUUUAUCUUGCUUGACAGAAACCUGGCCAACAACAAGCUUUCAGGUUCAGUUCCUUUAGGACUUACUGAUAGAUCAAAGAAUGGAACACUCCUAUUGAAGUUUGUGAUUUUCUCAUGCAUAUUAAUAUCAAUUUUUAUUUUAAGCUAACAUUUUGUAAAACAGGUUUUAAUGCUGUUCAAAGCAUUCUAGUCUUACAUUUCUCUUUAUGAACUUUAAUGAUGCAAGUGUUCGCAAAAAUCCAAACCUUUGCUCAUCGGAUUCAUGGAAGAACAAGAUUAUUAUUCCAGUGGUAGCAGCAAUUGGUUCUAUUUUCAUCCUUUUAUUAAUUGCAGCAGUUGUCUUUUGGAUCCUUAAGAGAAGAAAGCAAGGGGAGAUGAAUGAACAUAAUGGAACAUCAAAGCUAAAAGAACAAAAUUUUUCAUACUCUGAGAUCCUUAAUAUUACCAACAAUUUAGAGAGGGUUCUUGGUAAUGGGAAAUUUGGAACGAUUUUCCAUGGAUAUUUAGAUGACACACAAGUAGCUGUCAAGAUUUUCUUUUCUUCAUAUGUUCAUGGAUAUAAGCAAUUCCAAGUUGAGGCUAAAAUUUUGGCAAGAGUUCAUCACAGAAACUUGACUACAUGUUUUGGCUACUGCAAUGAAUAUACCAAUAAAGGGCUCAUCUAUGAGUACAUGGCAAAUGGAAACUUAGAAGAUAUUUUAUCUGAUAGAAAUGCAAAUUUCUUGAGCUGGCAAGAGAGACUCCAAAUAGCCAUGGAUGUAGCCCAAGGUUAGUUGGAAACUAUUUGAGUUCUUCUUUUUAGUGGAAGUGGCUUAAUAUUUUUGGAAUUUUGAACCAUAGGAUUGGAGUUUCUGCACAAUGGUUGUAACCCACCAAUCAUCCAUGGAAACUUGAAACCUACAAACAUCUUAUUGGACGAAAGUUUGCAUGCCAAGUUAGUUGAUUUUGGGUUGUCUAAAGUAUUGACAACUGAAGGUGCCACUUCAGAAUACCUUGAUCCUGAGUAAGUUUCCCAAUUCCUCAUACUAAAUAUCCUUAGGCUGGUGAUUUUUCCAUAAUUAUUUUAACUGUUUGCAGUUAUUAUAUCACAACCAAAUUGAUCGAAAGACAUGAUGUUUAUAGCUUUGGGCUUGUUCUCUUGGCAAUAAUAACUAGCCAACCUGUCAUCGCUAAGAAUCCUGAGAAAACUCAUAUAAUUAAACGGGUUAAAUCCUUGCUAGGCAAAGGGGAUAUUAACAAUAUUGUUGACUCAAAGCUAAAAGGAAAUUUUCAAGUUGAUUCUGUGUGGAAAACUGUGGAACUUGCAAUGGCUUGUGUAUCUUCACCUCCUAUCAAUAGGCCAACCAUGACUCGUGUGGUGAAGGAACUAAAUCAAUGUCUAGCUAUGGAGAUAGCUCGACUAAAUAGAUCAGAAGGGACAAUUGAACUGGUCACUGUAAAUCUGACUUCUGGACUGGAUCCCCAGGCAAGAUAGUGAUUCAAUAGUUAAUAACAAGAUGAGGAUGUAUAGAAUAUGCCUCCUAAUUGACUGUUGGUCUUGUAAUGAAAUAUGAUCCCUCUGUUAUCUCUAUUUUCUGUUUGUAUAGUUGGCAUGCAAAUUUGUGCAUAUACCUGACACGGCACAGAACAUCAAAG